GAUGAGGCCGACUGCCGGGCGGAGUCUGAUGGGCCAACAGAGUCUGGCGAUGCGGCGCAGUCGGGCUGGCGGGACAAGGAACCCCCUCUUUGUAGGAAGAGAUUGAAGCCGAGACACCAGAGAGCCCCCGGCUGAUCUGACUGUCGCUAUUUUUCGUUGUAACUUCAGGAGAGGAGGAAAGAAAAUUCUUGAGCCUCUGUGCUGACUUCUCAGCACUCUUCACCCUCCCACCUCUACCCCCACCUCUGUCUGAGCGACUCCCAAGGGAAAAAGAUUUUGCAGGGUUUGGGUGUUUUUUGUUUUAAGUGACACAAAAAAAAUGAGGAGGGGGGGUGGAGGGAGAUCUAGUCAAAAUAGUUUUUAGGAACUCAAGUGCAUAGCUGGACAUUUCUUUUUUCUUAUAUAUUCAAUCUUGUCAUUCCUAGAGAACAAGAAUGAGGUGUUUGUUUGUUUGUUUUUGUUUUAAGGACUGAAAAACUGUCAGCUUUGUGAUUAAAAUAAGUUGCAAAACCCUUGCUGGGGAAAAGCACCAGCCGUUUUCCAUGAAUUUAAAUAUUUUAUUAAGUCUAUUCUACAUCUAAGACUAAGUUUCGUGUCUGUCUUCCCCAGCGCUCACGGGGAAAAAUUAAAAAUACGAACUAAAAAAUUCAAAAUG
rnacentral:lncRNA from 10 species